UACGUAGGGUGCAAGCGUUGUUCGGAAUUAUUGGGCGUAAAGCGCGUGUAGGCGGCGACUGCAAGUCGGGUGUGAAAUCCCUCAGCUUAACUGAGGAAGUGCGCCCGAAACUGCAGCGCUCGAGUGCCGGAGAGGGUGGCGGAAUUCCCCAAGUAGAGGUGAAAUUCGUAGAUAUGGGGAGGAACACCGGUGGCGAAGGCGGCCACCUGGACGGUGACUGACGCUGAGACGCGAAAGCGUGGGGAGCAAACAGG
rnacentral:rRNA from 1 species